rnacentral:lncRNA from 1 species
GAGGAGGGCCCCAACUUAGCGGAACCGGCCCCGAAAACGCCGAGGGAAGAAGCAGAGCGCGAGGCGGGCGCGGUUUUUAAAAAGAAGAGCGCUUUAAUUUACACAGAAGUACUAAAUGUACAUAAUUCUUUAAAAAACUCGGUAUGCACAAUAAAUACAGUACAAAAUUAUUUUAUAGUACUAUAUUUCGUUUCCGACGGUGACCGCGGUCACCGGUACCGGCGGGCGGGACGGGGACGGGCUCGGGGGGCGCCGGGGGCUUCUCCCCCCGCCGCUGCCCUGCGCCGGCGGAGCCGGGGGUUUGGGGCGUUUUGGGGGAUUUUACCUGGUUUUGGGGAGUAACGGCGCGGGGGGGGGACGGCGGCGAGGCCCCGGGGCCGGAAGCGGCCGCCCCCGGCCCCGCCGAGAGGAUUUUUUCCUGGGAAAUUUGGAAAUUUGGGAGGUGGAGGGGACGGGAGCCCUGCUGCGGCGGGGAGGGAGCCGGCGCAGAACGGCCUUUUUGGUGAAAAAAAAGGGGGAUUUGGGGUUCUUCGCCGGCUCCGGCUCGCGGGGGAAGGAAAAAGAACGAGCUACCGGUCCCAACCCGCGCUUCCUUCUCGGUUUUUAAAAAAAAAAAGAAAAAAAAAGAGAGACACUAAACGAAACCCAAACAAUUUAAUAUACAUUUUUAUAUAUAUAUACGUAUAUAUAAAAAAGAAAACGCCAAAUAUUUUCGCCUGGGAAGCGUCGUCCCUUAUUGCUACCCAGCCGCGUGGCGGCUUCGCCCCGCUCGCGGCGCCCGAGGACCAGAAAUCGAGAGAAUUCCACGAAAAAUUCCCUUGGAGCAGCCCUGCCCUCUCCGUGCGGGGGGGGAUUACAAAAAAUAAAAUAAAAAAGGGGGGAAAAAAGCGCAAAAAAAAUAAAAAAAAAAGGUCAGAGCGAGGCGCGGGCACGCGGAGCGACCCCGCGAGCGGGUGGAAAUGCGUGCCGGAAGAAAAGCCUCAACCGUUUUGGGGAGAUUCCUCCCUUUUUGGCGAUUCCGCGGCGCGGGGAAUUCUCCUCGCCGCCCCCCCCCCCCCCCGCGGGUUUCGGGGGCGCACGGACGCUUUAAGGCCUCUUUCGGGGACGAAACAAGAAGAAAAGGGAGCGGGGGGCCAGAGCCGCGCCAGCUCCCGACCGGGCCGAAUACAUGAAAGCGGGGGUUUUUGGCCCAAAAAGCCGCCCGCCGCCGGAGCCUUGACGCUUUCGGGACGGGCUUCGGGCACCGAGGGGCUGGGACGGAGCCGCCCGCGGGGAGCGACGGCGCUGGCGGCCCGGCCGGGUCCCAGGCCCGGCGCCGCAGAUUUAUGGGUUCUUCUCGGAAAAGAGAGGAAAGAAGAAAAAAAAAAANNNNNNNNN